ensembl:snRNA U1 U1 spliceosomal RNA
AAACAGGACAGAGUAGGAGCGCCCUCAAGCUUUAGAGGGCGUGACAGGUGGCUUGCCCAGGGUGAGGCUCAGCCAUUGAACUCCAACUGUGCUGACCCCUGCAAAUUCCCCAAAUGUGGGAAUCUCGACUGCAUAACUUCUGUUAGUGGGAAACUGUUUUCUCUUUCUCU